rnacentral:rRNA from 1 species
GUAGGUGGCGAGCGUUAUCCGGAAUUAUUGGGCGUAAAGGGUGCGCAGGCGGCAAGAAAAGCUUAAGGUGAAAGCGUGGGGCUCAACCCCAUAAAGCCUUAGGAACUAGCUUGCUAGAGUGCAGGAGAGGGCGAUGGAAUUCCAUGUGUAGCGGUAAAAUGCGUAGAUAUAUGGAGGAACACCAGUGGCGAAGGCGGUCGCCUGGCCUGUAACUGACGCUGAGGCACGAAAGCGUGGGGAGCAAAU